GCGAGCCGGAUACAUUGAAAGGUGUAAGUCCGGUUCUGAGGGGGACGCAGAAAUCUACUUGGUAAAACAAGCAAGACGCUGUUAGUCCUACCCUAC
rnacentral:ncRNA from 1 species